rnacentral:lncRNA from 1 species
GAAUCCUCAGAGUGUGGCAACGGGUAGCAGCUUCAGCAGGAGCUUGACCCCCCCAGUGAUGAUUAGGUUGAUCGACUCACAGCAGCCACCUGGCACCCCCGGCCAGCCAGGGGAGGGCAGGAGCCAGGGCCGCUCCCUCAGACAGGUAUAAAAGGGUGUCACGGGCAAGGAGAGAGCUUUUGGGACCAAGGUGCGAUCUCUGGGAACCUGUGACUUGUUAAAGCUGCCAGACCGAGGAAAGGGGGUGCUUCAGGUGGCAGCGGCCCAUCAGUGCUGUCCUCAGGAGCUCUCGGCUGCCCUGGACUUUCUCCAGGAGCGUGGGAACAAGUUCAGCCAGACAUGACUGAGAAGCAGUCCAGAAAUACCCUAUGGACAGAAAGGAUAAGGGCAAGGUUGCUGUUUGGGGGCUUUGGACUCGUUCCCAUCUGCUGUCAAGGCAUCUCCAGCAGGACUAGCAUGUAAAGUGAAGGAGGGUCCCAUAACCACGCAGGAACAGAACCAGAACGAUGCAGAACCAAAGUGCUUCUUUCCAGACCCAUCCAAUGGCCAUUACACAACACAAACGAGGAGAAAUAAUAAUAAUACAGUAUUAAACACUCAAACGCUUGAAUCGAGAUUCUUCUUCUUCUUCUGCUAACGAGGUUUCUGUAGGAGGGUCCUUUUGCUUUCGGGCAGGGUUGCUGUGAGGUUGCAGCCUGGCUUCCCAGGCAGAGGCGAGGCUGGCGCCGUGCCCCGCGGGCCUCCCACGCCUGCCUCCAUCUGCCGCCAGCCGGCCGCUCGUGGGGCGACUGCACCGAGCACAGGAAAGAUCGAACCUUUGCUGCCCUGAAAAGCACCUAAGUGAGAAGGUGCAAGUCAGAAUUUAGCCCUUCUGCAUUCUACAGUAAUUAAG